AGAACGAACGCUUGCGGCGCGCCUAAUACAUGCAAGUCGAACGAGGUAGCAAUACCGAGUGGCGCACGGGUGAGUAAUGCGUGGAUAAUCUGCCCUUCAGUGGGGAAUAACCAGUCGAAAGACUGGCUAAUACCUCAUGAGACCACAAUGUCUGCGGACAAAGGGGUUAAAGAUUUAUCGCUGAAGGAUGAGUCUGCGUGGGAUUAGCUAGUUGGUGGGGUAACGGCCUACCAAGGCUCCGAUCCCUAGCUGGUCUGAGAGGACGGCCAGCCACACUGGAACUGAGACACGGUCCAGACUCCUACGGGAGGCAGCAGUAGGGAAUAUUGCACAAUGGGGGAAACCCUGAUGCAGCGACGCCGCGUGAGUGAUGAAGGCCUUAGGGUCGUAAAGCUCUGUUGCAGGAGACAAAAAAAAUGAUGGUAUCCUGCGAGAAAGGACCGGCUAACUUCGUGCCAGCAGCCGCGGUAAUACGAGGGGUCCUAGCGUUGUUCGGAAUCAUUGGGCGUAAAGCGUGUGUAGGUGGCUAUGUAAGUCAGGUGUGAAAUCCCCGGGCUCAACCCGGGAAGUGCAUUUGAUACUGCGUAGCUUGAGUAUUGGAGAGGAUAGUGGAAUUCCUGGUGUAGUGGUGAAAUACGUAGAUAUCAGGAGGAACACCGGUGGCGAAGGCGGCUAUCUGGCCAUAUACUGACACUGAGACACGAAAGCAUGGGUAGCAAACAGGAUUAGAUACCCUGGUAGUCCAUGCCAUAAACGAUGGAUACUUGUUGUUGGAGGUAUUGACCCCUUCAGUGACGAAGCUAACGCGUUAAGUAUC
rnacentral:rRNA from 1 species